rnacentral:rRNA from 1 species
CCUACGGGGGGCUGCAGUGGGGAAUUUUGGACAAUGGGGGCAACCCUGAUCCAGCCAUGCCGCGUGCAGGAUGAAGGCCUUCGGGUUGUAAACUGCUUUUGUCAGGGACGAAAAGGACCGUGUUAAUACCAUGGUCUGCUGACGGUACCUGAAGAAUAAGCACCGGCUAACUACGUGCCAGCAGCCGCGGUAAUACGUAGGGUGCAAGCGUUAAUCGGAAUUACUGGGCGUAAAGCGUGCGCAGGCGGUUCUGUAAGACAGAUGUGAAAUCCCCGGGCUCAACCUGGGAAUUGCAUUUGUGACUGCAGGACUAGAGUUCAUCAGAGGGGGGUGGAAUUCCAAGUGUAGCAGUGAAAUGCGUAGAUAUUUGGAAGAACACCAAUGGCGAAGGCAGCCCCCUGGGAUGCGACUGACGCUCAUGCACGAAAGCGUGGGGAGCAAACAGGAUUAGAUACCCCGGUAGUC